rnacentral:rRNA from 1 species
CCUACGGGUGGCAGCAGUGGGGGAUAUUGGACAAUGGGGGUAACCCUGAUCCAGCGACGCCGCGUGAGUGAAGAAGUAUUUCUGGAUCUUAAGCUCUUUCAGCAGGGGAGAAAGAAAUGACGGUACCUGACCAAGGAGCGCCGGCUAACUACGUGCCAGCAGCAGCUGUAAUACGUAGGGGGCAAGCGUUAUCCGGAAUUACUGGGUGUCAGGGUAUCGUAGACGGGUAUGUAAGUCUGGAGUGAAAGGCCGUGGCCCAACCCCGGGACUGCUGUUGAAACUAGGGAACUUGAGUGACGGGGAGGCAAGCGGAAUUCCUGGUGUAGCGGUGAAAUGCGUAGAUAUUAGGAGGAACACCAGUGGCGAAGGCGGCUUAC